GCCAAAGCUGGGCCUGUGUACUCACUAGUGUGCAGCCAUGGACAGGCUUACUUCCUCAUUCCUGCUGCUGAUUGCCCCUGCAUAUGUCCUGUCCCAGGUUACUCUGAAAGAGUCUGGCCCCGGGAUAUUGCAGCCCUCCCAGACCCUCAGUCUGACUUGUUCUUUCUCCGGAUUUUCACUGAGCACUUAUGGUAUGGGUGUGGGCUGGAUCCGUCAGUCUUCAGGGAAGGGUCUGGAGUGGCUGUCAGUCAUUUAUUGGAAUGAUGUUAAGUACUACAACCCAUCCCUGAAGAGUCGGCUUACAAUCUACAAGGACACCUCCAACAACCAGGUGUUUCUCAAGCUGGCCAGUGUGGAUACUUCAGAUACUGCGAAAUAUUACUGUGCUCGGAGAGCACAUUGGCACAGCCUCAGUUUUCAGCUCUACAAUAUUUCAGGCUGUUGAUCUGCUUUGUUCCUUUCUAUUAUAUCAUAAGCAGGUACAGCCACAGCUUUCCUGCUGUCCUCUGUGGUUUCCCGUUUGCUCUUGGGUUAUGACCUUUCUAUUCCAUUUCUUCACCCUAAGUCUCUAUUAUAAUGUUCAUAAAUUA